GGGGGCGAAUUGGAUUCGACCGGACGAGUGAGGCGUUGGUUGCGUGCCGAGGUUCCCGGUGGCCUCGUUAAACCCGGGACA
rnacentral:tmRNA from 1 species